CACAUUAGUGAUUGGUUUACUACCCGGAAAUGUUGUGAGGAGGGCGUGUUCACGCGCGUGCAGACAAACAAAGUAACAGCGAAGUUUUUUAAUCUCAUUUAGAGUUUUUGUCUAACAUUUUGACAUUAAAAGCAGCAGUCAUGGCUGAGGUGACUGGAGCUGAACUAAUAGCAGAGUCCCUGAAGACUCAGAAAGUGGAGUAUAUGUUCGGGAUAGUCGGGGUUCCUAUCAUUGAAGUGGCCAUGGCCGCUCAGGCUGCAGGCAUCAAAUAUGUAGGAAUGCGCAAUGAGCAGGCGGCCUGCUAUGCUGCAUCUGCCAUUGGGUACAUCACAGGGAGG